CCUCUUCGGGGGAGACGGGCGGAGGGGAGGAAAGUCCGGGCUCCAUAGGGCAGGGUGCCAGGUAACGCCUGGGGGGGAAACCCACGACCAGUGCAACAGAGAGCAAACCGCCGAUGGCCCGCGCAAGCGGGAUCAGGUAAGGGUGAAAGGGUGCGGUAAGAGCGCACCGCGCGGCUGGUAACAGUCCGUGGCACGGUAAACUCCACCCGGAGCAAGGCCAAAUAGGGGUUCAUAAGGUACGGCCCGUACUGAACCCGGGUAGGCUGCUUGAGCCAGUGAGCGAUUGCUGGCCUAGAUGAAU
rnacentral:RNase_P_RNA from 1 species